AAGUAUUGAUUCAAGUAGGAUAAUGCGGUAGAAAAUAAAAUGGAAUUAACUCCGCCCGAUAUUUUGAAUGAGGUGGAAAUCGCACACAAUGGUCUUUUGUAUUUUUAGAACUCUAGUUUUUUGACCUGUUUUCUCACAACUGUAUUGAACAACGCGAUGGAUAUUUAUUUUACACAGACGUUUAUUAUAAACUCGUGUU